GCAUCAAUAGCUCAGCGGCAGAGCGCAGGAUUGCAGUCAAGAUCGCUAUUAUCCCGAGGUCCCCGGUUCAAUCCCGGGUUGGUGCU
rnacentral:tRNA from 1 species